rnacentral:tRNA from 1 species
GAGAUUUGGCUCAGUGUUAGAGUGCUUGCCUAGCGUGCGCAAGGCCCUGGGUUCAAUCACCAGGAACACA